UGCACAUUUAGGAAAACAAAUUCAGAGGUAUUCAUAUGUGGGUUAGACAGGCAAGUCACUACGCAACAGGGAAGAUCAAGUAACAUUGAGGUUGCUCAUGUGCUUCACUCCACAACUGGGACGCAAGGUCGACAACAAAUGCCAUGCUCCUUACCAGAAAUGUUCCUCGAUUUGGGACCCCCAGGAGAGGCUCUGGUGGUCACUCUGAGCUUAAUCCCAGGAAGACCCCUAUCCUUCAACAUGGAUCCAGAGAGUGGGCAUUGCACAGCUCCAGAAGGGUCUGGGACUAGUGCGGGAGAAGGGGAGAGGAGAUCUAGAGAAGGGAAGGGUCAAAGAGGAUCAAGGAAGGGGAAUGGAAGAAAAGACAGGAAGGAGGGAGGCAGGAAAAGAUAGUUGGCGAUCAAAUGUGGAAUAUCUGGAGAUGAGAUAGGUUGAGCUGCAGUACAGAGAUGACAAAUUGCAAGGGUUGAUAUAAAUACAAUCUUUGUUCAUUGUUUUUAUUUAUCAUUGUCUGUUAUUGUUGUUUCUGUUUGUCUUUGAGUGAAAGCGAAAUGAGCCAAGCAAUUCCUGACUUUGUCAUGCUCAGGGAGGUGAAGUAAGAGUGGAAAAUGGGUCCGUUCCAGGUUGUGUUUAUUUCAAUCAUGUUGCAGAUGAUCAGAUCUCACUAAGCCUGGUGAAGUGCUCCUAUGUGUUUUAGUCUUCCAAGAUGUGUAUCCCCAUUGAAAAAAAAGACUGUCUGGAACAACACCACCAUAUCAGAAUCUCGAAUGUCUUGAUAUAUAGUCAUAUUUUUCAGCCAUGUUAUGCAUUUUAUGAUGAGCUGCAGGUGUAAUGCAGCAUUAUGUGAAACUUCUUGUUUUGAACAGCAAAUUGUAACUCUUGUUAAUAGCUAUCCAAUAAAAAAUACAUGAUUGGUUGAAAUUCUGUUGCUUCUCAUUGAAUUUUGAAUUCAUGUCGAGUUGUUUUUGAAGAAUGUCCUAGUGUGUAUUCAGUCAUGUGAAAUGUUCAGAACCUUGCAGAUAAUAGCUUUGGUUCAGUCUGCAGCAUCACAGUCAAAGACCAAACGUGCCAUGGAAGUCUCUCAAUCACCAAUGGGAAUGGAGAAAAGCAGAAUAGUACACAAUUGAAUCACUAGUUGAAAUUGAGGCCAAAAAUAUGCAAACUUUAUUCAGAAUGUUGAGAAGAUAAUUUUAAUUCCCAUCAUAACAGGUCAACAUUAGAUCUAAUCUAAACAGAUCACUUCUGUGGUUGGGUUUACAAAGGCCUGGAUUUGGGUUAGGCCGGAUCCAGCAUCCCAGCCAAUUAAAUGCGUCCGACUGUGGAUUUAUAUAUAUAUUUUUUAAUUGGCUUGGCUGUCAACAAGAUACAGAAUGCGUCCCUUUAUGCACAUAAAUAACCUCUGUCUGCUAUUUGCAGUUGGUAAACUAACUAAUGGAUACUACUGUGCUGAUUCCAUAAUGCAAUGCAUUUGUCCUGAAGGGCUGUUCUCCUGUCCAAUGUUAGUUAGAAUGUGCCUCAAUCUUCUGUCUGAUACCAUAACCCAUACAAGGCAUUGUCAUAUUGUAUUCUCCUUCUUGUGAACACUCUUCGUGUGCCUUCUUUGGGAUUCAAGCGCUUUGAAGCGCGUACCGCAAUCAGUGCACACAUACGUUCAUUCCUCAUUGUGCAUUGCCUGGUGCUUAUUCAGUGAAACUAACGUGGCAAAACAUUUAUAGCAUUCAGAACACAUAUAGGGUCUCUCCCCUGUGUGAACUCUCAUAUGCACUUUCAGGUUCUCUCGUCUGUUAAAAACACGAUGGCAAACCGGGCAAGGAAACGGUUUGUCCCCUGUGUGAAUACUCCUAUGCUUUGUCAGACAAAUCACCCGACCUGAAGCCUUUGCCACAGUCACUGCAACAAUGGGAUCUUUCCCCUGUGUGAAUCAUCAUGUGUCUUUUCAGAUUACUAGUCCAGUUGAAACAUUGACCACAUAAGUGACAAGAAAUAUUUUUCAUGUGAGUUUGGAGAUCGUCUAUAAGAAUUUCUUUGGACUCAAAAGUGUUUUCCACAGACACCACAAAGGCAAUCUAGGUCUAUAUCGUGUGUGUUCUCGUGUAUGUUUUAUUAAAAAACUCAGAGUAACAUUUAUUUCCACACACACCACACCAACAGGUUUUGACAGUGUGGGAUGAGACUGGAUUUCCUUCCUUUUUUCCAGAUACCGGAGAUUUGGCUUGUUAUUUUCUGUGCUCUUUUUGAUUUGAGUGGCUUAAACCUAAUCCAAGGUUCUGUUUCCUCUUCUUUGACAACUCAAUUGGGAUUGGAGAACAGUCUGGAUUUACUGCAGAGAGGGGCUGAGAGUCACUUGUUAGCUCUAAUACUCUGUAGCCCUCUCAAUCAGGUUCAGCUUUGAUCUGUUCCAAUGAGGUGCUAGGUAGAGAGGCUCCCUGUCCAUAUUCCUCACUUUGGCUUUGGUAAAGAUGUGAGGGCUGACAUAAGUCCUCUUCCUGAUCAUAGUCACUUUUCACACAGUCAGAGCUAAUUAUGAAGGUGUCAUUAUGAAACUCUUCCUCCUGACGGGUCCUGUGUUGCACUUGUUGUUCCUCUUUAAUCUGUGUGGGCUCUGGGUCUUCUUGCCCCAGACUGGGGCUCCACUCCUGCUCAGUGUUGCUGCUCAGGGGAAACCUCUUUGAAGACAGUGAGAGAGAGCUGCUGUAAG
ensembl:lncRNA